AUUGAACGCUGGCGGCAGGCCUAACACAUGCAAGUCGAGCGAGCGGCGGACGGGUGAGUAAUGUAUGGGGACUGCCCGAUAGAGGGGGUUAAUUACUGGAAACGUUGGCUAAUACCGCAUACUAUCGGAUAACCUAUAUGGGAUUAGCUAGUAGGUGGGGUAAAGGCUCACCUAGGAGACUAUCUCUAGCUGGUCUGAGAGGAUGAUCAGCAACACUGGGACUUAGACACGGCCCAGACUCCUACGGAGGCAGCAGUGGGGAAUAUUGCACAAUGGGGGAAAGCCUGAUACAGCCAUGCCGCGUGUAUGAAGAAGGCCUUGGGGUUGUAAAGUAAUUUCAGCGGGGAGGCGUUACCCGCAGAAGAAGCACCGGCUAACUCCGUGCCAGCAGCCGCGGUAAUAC
rnacentral:rRNA from 1 species